rnacentral:rRNA from 1 species
UACGAAGGGGGCUAGCGUUGUUCGGAAUUAUUGGGCGUAAAGAGCUCGUAGGCGGUCUGUCGCGUCGGCUGUGAAAACCCGAGGCUCAACCUCGGGCCUGCAGUCGAUACGGGCAGACUAGAGUGCUGUAGGGGAGACUGGAAUUCCUGGUGUAGCGGUGAAAUGCGCAGAUAUCAGGAGGAACACCGGUGGCGAAGGCGGGUCUCUGGGCAGUAACUGACGCUGAGGAGCGAAAGCGUGGGGAGCAAACAGG